GCGAGCGUGGCGGAAUGGUAGACGCACAGGACUUAAAAUCCUGAGUUCCGAUGGAACGUGGGGGUUCAAGUCCCCCCGCUCGCACCA
rnacentral:tRNA from 1 species